UACGGAGGGGGCCAGCGUUGUUCGGAAUUAUUGGGCGUAAAGGGCGCGUAGGCGGCCGAAUAAGUCUGAUGUGAAAGCCCACGGCUCAACCGUGGAGGGGCAUUGGAAACUGGAGGACUUGAGUACAGAAGAGGAAAGCGGAAUUCCACGUGUAGCGGUGAAAUGCGUAGAGAUGUGGAGGAACACCAGUGGCGAAGGCGGCUUUCUGGUCUGUAACUGACGCUGAGGCGCGAAAGCGUGGGGAGCAAACAGG
rnacentral:rRNA from 1 species